AAAGCGUGCGCAGGCGGUUUUGUAAGACUGUCGUGAAAUCCCCGGGCUCAACCUGGGAAUGGCGAUGGUGACUGCAAGGCUAGAGUUUGGCAGAGGGGGGUAGAAUUCCACGUGUAGCAGUGAAAUGCGUAGAUAUGCGGAGGAACACCAAUGGCGAAGGCAAUCCCCUGGGCCUGUACUGACGCUCAUGCACGAAAGCGUGGGGAGCAAACAGGAUUAGAUACCCCAGU
rnacentral:rRNA from 1 species